rnacentral:lncRNA from 1 species
GCUGGCUAUCACUUUAUUUACCUUCUAUGAUUUAUAGAGGAAGGGUGAUUGGAAAUUACCGUCGAGUAGAUAUGUUUAGUAUAUUCAAAAUAACUACAUUUUGAAAUUAAAUAGAAAAUUGGUGUGCAUAAUCAAAAUGGUUGAAAAAAAAUAAUUAAAAGUCAUGAAAAAAUUCAAAAAGGAAAGUCCCUAAUCAAAUUAAAGGAAAAGUAAAGAGCUUAAACACAUCAAACGAAUGGAUAACAACUGUCAUAUUUCUGGCUCGGUGCAGGCAUUUUCUCAGUAGAAUAUGGUGGGUUAGCACAACUUAGAAAUAGAAAAAUUGAAAUUAAAUAUCAACGCACUGUUAUUGCUAUUUGUAGUAAUUCAUAAAAAAAUAAUUAACAAAAAUCUGCGAUUCUUGUUCAACGAAAUGCUCGUGCAGCAACCAAGUAAGCAACAUAAAAAACGCAAAACAAAAUUUUAAAAUCUUAAAGUUU